GUGCUGGGAAAACAUAAUGGCCCUUUUUCUUCGAGCUCCCUUUCCGUACUUUCCAAACCUUUCUAUGCACAUAAUGGAAAAUGCAAUAAAACUUUCAAUAGCAGCCACAAGGCACAAGUGAUCCAAAGGGUGCAUGGGACUGGCAGGCAGGAAGAAAGGGUGCAAGAGAAGCAGAUGCAGGAGGUAAGCAGAAGGGGAAACCAGAGGUGCAGGACUGGGGCCCAGGACCUACCUUUGACAUUGCUCAGGGACAGGGAACGCUCCUGGUCUGCCAGCCCAGGCCCCAGCCGGCCACUGCCACCACUGUCCUUCUGCCUGGCCACUGCCACGGCAAUGCCCACAGGCGGGUGCCGCACCUCAGCCUCCCCUUGGGCACCAGAGCCCUCGCGCACAAAGGUCUUGGCACUCUCUGGUCUCUCUGGGUCCCGCUUCAGCUGCCGGCCCCCACUCGAUGCAGGGCCACCCGGGUGUGGGAGUCGGGCCUGGGCACGCAGGGUACCCACAGAGGUGGGCGAGGGCUCUGGUUUCAUGGUGCCCAGACCCCCAAAGGGGCUCUUCUUGCCACAUCCGCCAGGACGCACGGCCACCGCCUCUCGAGCAAAGCUGCCACUGUACUUGAUGAGACUCUGCAUGGCCGAGGCCUCCCCAGGUAUGCCUUCUUGGAGGCAUCCUCUUCGGCGGUGCGGCUGGCAUGGUGGUGCUGCGCAGCAAGCACGGCCAUCUGCGUCGUGGCGAAGUUGCCCAGCUCGAAGGGCUUCCACUUGUGCUCUGGGCCUGGGGGAGCGGGGACACGCGUAGGCUCCAGGCUGAAGAGCUUGGUAGACUGCGGGGCCCCGCGGGGCGUACGCUCACACGCCCGCGGCUCGGCCUCCGGCUUGGGCAGCUCCUUGGGCGGCAGGUAGACUCGGGGAUCGGGGGAGGUGCGAGCGGCUCGGGCCGGGGCCGCAUCAGCAGGGGGCGGGCGCUUGAGCGAGCGGAUGACCGAGUUCUUCUCACGCAGGACCUCGGGGCGCUCGGGCCGCGGGGAUCCUGGGGGCGCCUGCAGCACCCCGGGCCGCCCCGCCUCGCGCUCGCGCGCCCGAGUGUCGCGCGCCUGCGACGCGAUCUGGAUGGGACCUGCACGCUCGUCGAAGGCCUCCACAGAAGGCACGAAGGUGGGCGCCACCACGCGGUGCUCGCGUCCCGGCUCGCGGAACACGGUGUAGACGCCAGCGGGUGCCGAGGAGGGGGGAGCGGGGGGCCCCUUUGGGGGCGGCGGGGGCAGCGGCGAGGGACAGGGUCGUGGCACCGGCAGCAGGGCCUCCGCGCGUCGCAGCAGUCGCACGCUCUCGUCCUGCCGGGUCGCCUCCUUGGGCCCCAGCCCUGCGUCGGCCGCGCCGUUGCACAUGCCCAGCGCGGACGCCUGCAGCACCCCCUUGCCCUUGGUCUCAGCCAGAAAGGGCGACAGGCGUUCGGGCAGACGCCCGGGUGCUCGGUCCGGGCGGCCCUCGGUCCGCGCCUCCUGGGUCAGGUCCACCACGCCGCGCCCAGCGGCCUCCUCGCGCACACGGGGGUCCUUCUUGCCGAACAGCGGGGGCUCUCCCCCGCGGCCUGCACGCUCCUUGGUUGUCCCCUCGCGCGAUGAUGCUGAGCCUUUGGCCGUCGCGCCCGAGUUGUGGCCGCUGGUGGUCCUGGAGGAGGGCGCGUGGGAGUGCAGGGUGCCCGGGGCCCCUGGGGCGGGCAGGUAGAAGCCGUCUGUGUAGAGAACCACAGUUAGCACGGCCCACAGCCCACCCGGGCCAGGGCG
rnacentral:lncRNA from 1 species